UGGGGAAUAUUGGACAAUGGGCGAAAGCCUGAUCCAGCCAUGCCGCGUGUGUGAAGAAGGUCUUCGGAUUAUAAAGCACUUUAAGUGGGGAGGAAGGGCAGUAAGCGAAUACCUUGCUGUUUUGACGUUACGGACAGAAGAAGCACCGGCUAACUCUGUGCCAGCAGCCGCGGGAAUGCAGAGGGUGCAAGCGUUAAUCGGAAUUACUGGGCGUAAAGCGCGCGUAGGUGGUUCGUUAAGUUGAAUGUGAAAGCCCCUGGCUCCCCCUGGGCACUUCAUCCACAUCUUGCGAGCUAGUCUAGGGCCGCGCGUGGUGGAAUUUCCUGUGUAGCGUUGAAAUGCGUAGACAUAGGCCGGAACACCAGUGGCGAAGUCGCCCACCUGGGCUCAUACUGACACUGCGGUGCGAAAGCGUGGGGCGCAAACCGC
rnacentral:rRNA from 1 species